rnacentral:rRNA from 1 species
AGUGGCGAACGGGUGAGUAACACGUGGGCAAUCUGCCCUUCACUCUGGGACAAGCCCUGGAAACGGGGUCUAAUACCGGAUAACACUCUGUCCCGCAUGGGACGGGGUUGAAAGCUCCGGCGGUGAAGGAUGAGCCCGCGGCCUAUCAGCUUGUUGGUGGGGUGAUGGCCUACCAAGGCGACGACGGGUAGCCGGCCUGAGAGGGCGACCGGCCACACUGGGACUGAGACACGGCCCAGACUCCUACGGGAGGCAGCAGUGGGGAAUAUUGCACAAUGGGCGAAAGCCUGAUGCAGCGACGCCGCGUGAGGGAUGACGGCCUUCGGGUUGUAAACCUCUUUCAGCAGGGAAGAAGCGAAAGUGACGGUACCUGCAGAAGAAGCGCCGGCUAACUACGUGCCAGCAGCCGCGGUAAUACGUAGGGCGCAAGCGUUGUCCGGAAUUAUUGGGCGUAAAGAGCUCGUAGGCGGCUUGUUGCGUCGGUUGUGAAAGCCCGGGGCUUAACCCCGGGUCUGCAGUCGAUACGGGCAGGCUAGAGUGUGGUAGGGGAGAUCGGAAUUCCUGGUGUAGCGGUGAAAUGCGCAGAUAUCAGGAGGAACACCGGUGGCGAAGGCGGAUCUCUGGGCCAUUACUGACGCUGAG